rnacentral:lncRNA from 1 species
CAAGGCCACAUAUCAGAACUUCCUCUCCUGAAAUACCUCCUUUGCUAUCCUAUAUAUCUAGACCCUCUGUGGCCUUCAGUACCUAGCUCAGGUCCCAUCUCAUCCCACCUCCUAAAGCCUUUCCUGUCCAGCCCAGUCCUCAGUGGACUCACUUUCCUCUGAAACUGACACCAUGUCCUACUGGUAUACCAUUUACUUGGCAUUUCCACAUAGACUGUCUUGCCAUUUAUUUAAUUCCCAUGUGACUAAUUUAAAAAAUCAUUCCACGUGCACAUGCCUUUCUGCGUCAUAUAGAUUGUAACAUGAGCAGUACUUUAAAAACUAUUUUCUCAGGUUGCAUUUUCAUUUUAGAUUAUUGUAAAUGUGUUGAGCACCUAACAAGGUUAACGCAAUGUACCUGGAGAUGAGUAAGAAAUUCUCUAAUCUCAAGGAACUUUCUGCUUUGUAAAGAAAAUAGUUUAGGUGCAUACAUUAUUGUUUUUAAAAGAACAAGUAAUAUAAAUGCCAAAGGUAUGAAACUUGAAAGGACAGAUCAUAUCAGGUUUGAGAAGAUUUGGGAGGCUUCUUAGAGGAAGCAGAUGAAAGAUCAGCCCUGAAGGUGAAGAUGUGGGUUUAUGAGCAUUGAAGGCCAAGGAAAACCAAAAGGAAAGAAAUAGUGCUCAGGGAAAAGGGCUCAUUAUGUCCUUUUUUGCAGUGUGGAGGCCCCACAGGCUGACUGCAGAUUACAGACUUUGUUUGACCAGUACAAUAUUUCUUUACCAAUUAUAAUCUGAAUGUCCUUAGGUAGUCACGCCUACUUUUCAUACUCUCUGUUGUUUUGCAACAGGCCUGCCUAGACUCUGAAGCUUUUGGAGUGAGGAGAUAACAGGAGGAUGCUGUCCAUUCCAGUCCAUUCCAGCUGGUCCCUGAUAUUGACGUGGGUGCUGUUUUGGCCUCAAUCCUGCCCUCUGCCUGUAUUCACUGAGUGGGAUUUCCCCACCAGAAACCUUCGCAUUCUCUGAGUCAUUUGGACUUGGACUUACUUGUCCAGAAGUUUUAGUUCCUGGAGAACUUGAGAAGGACUCCUUCUCCAGUUGUUGGACUUUAUUCCCCCUGCUGCUGCUCCACACCACCACAGCUUAUUCAGUCACUGGACAGUUCUUGGUGAAGAAUGAUACUCCUUAUUGCAGCGUGCCCCUUCGGCCUUGGCAAAGACCCAGCACAUUCUUCCACCUGAUGGUUUGAUGAAAAACCAAGGUUCAAUAAGAAGCCUUUGUCUUGGGGAAACUGAAUUUUCCUGCUGAGAUGGUAGACCAUACUUGGUUCUGUUUCCAGUUCGAAAUAGUGCCAUAUUUAUCAAACAACACUUUGAAGUAUCAUUUGAGAAAUUUAUGGGAUCUUCACUUUUCUUAUUUGUAAAUGAUGUAGUAUUUAAUAUGUCCAAAUGAAUUUAUACAAAUAAAUGCACAUUAUAAAGCA